CGUGGAGGAUGACGCAUUUCGGUGUGUAAACUCCUUUUAUCAAGGAAGAAAAUGACGGUACUUGAUGAAUAAGCACCGGCUAACUCCGUGCCAGCAGCCGCGGUAAUACGGAGGGUGCAAGCGUUAUUCGGAAUCACUGGGCGUAAAGGACGCGUAGGCGGGAUGCCAAGUCUGAUGUGAAAUCCUAUGGCUUAACCAUAGAACUGCAUUGGAAACUGGUGACCUAGAGUAUGGGAGGGGGAGAUGGAAUUAGUGGUGUAGGGGUAAAAUCCGUAGAUAUCACUAGGAAUACCCAAAGCGAAGGCGAUCUCCUGGAACAAUACUGACGCUAAGGCGUGAAAGUGUGGGGAGCAAACGGGAUUAGAUACCCCGGUAGUCCACGCCCUAAACGAUGUUCACUAGUCGUCGGAAUGCUAGUCAUUUCGGUGAUGCACUUAACAGAUUAAGUGAACCGCCUGGGGAGUACGGUCGCAAGAUUA
rnacentral:rRNA from 1 species